GUAACAACAGCAGCACAAUACGCUCUAUACAAGAAGUAUAUCCAGGGUAUUAAAUGGGCUUAGAGGCCAGUGCAGCUCUGCCUGCGGGAGGCUGGGAAUGCUUCCAAGAGGAAGCAGCAGCUGAAGUGAGAUUUGAAAGAAGAGUUAGAGUUCAUCAGGGCAGUAGGGUGGGCCUUAGGGAACAGAGGAUAUUCCCAGCAAAAGACACAGCGUGAACAACUGUGUUGAGAAAUUGUGACGAUCCACUACAUUAAAGAAGCAGUAAAGUAACAGCUGCUGCUGCUGCUGCUGCUAAGUCACUUCAGUCAUGUCCAACUCUGUGCGACCCCAUAGACAGCAACCCACCAGGCUCCCCCAUCCCUGGGAUUCUCCAGGCAAGAACACUGGAGUGGGUUGCCGUUUCCUUCUCCAAUGCAUGAGAGGUGAUGGAUAUGAAAGGUUUUAUGAAGGAUAUUGAACUGGAUAAUUUCUACACUCACUUCCAAGACUUAACCCCUUCAGGACUUUUUCCUUCAUGAGUUCCAUAUCAAAUUGAACACAUCUUCAGUUCACCUGCUUUCUCAACACUAACAGUAUGGAUUACUUUAACACAGACUUAUUUUGCUUUCCUGUUGUCUUGGAAAUACUUGUCUGAUCUCCCCAACUAGAUAUCUUCUCAAACCAUAUCAUCUGAAGUGUCAGUGCAAGUGGUUCGUGUAGCUCUAGGAAACAGGCUGAGUUUGGCCUGUGCAUUUUGGCAUCCUGGACAAGAGGAUCAUCGAGCAGAGGAUGGAAAAGUACCUGGCAGUGCCUCCUGACUCCGACUUCCUACCGGCGACAUCCGCCUCUUGCUGACUCUGAGUCACCAGCAGCAGGCCUCCCCUCCCCUGCGGCCCAUCCGCCCGUUAGGCCGGCAGCUCUCCUCCGGUGCUGACUUCCCUUGCUUGCUCCCACACGUGUGCUCAAGGUGGAGGCAACCCUAAUGAGGAAACACAGAGGCUGCAGCAGCAUUUCCUCCUCAGCCAGCAAAGUGAGGCCUGCAGCAGCCUCCCCAGCAGGGCCUGCCUAGCCCCAUAGCCCUGCAGGUCAGGCCUCAGAUGCAGGGACUCCCACCCCUGUGUCCUGGAGUCCUCCCAGGAGAUGGGGAACUGUCUGAGCUCCAGGCUGGACUCCUAGAACCCAAAGGCACCAGAGUUGCCUCUCUGGUGAGGAGGAGCCCCUAGAAACUCCCAGGAGGCUGGUCCUGUGCAUCCCCAACUGAAGUAUAAGAAAUGAGCACCAGGAAGAAGCUCACCACAAACUCCCCUUGAAAUGACUGGUCCUUGGCC
ensembl:lncRNA